rnacentral:lncRNA from 1 species
AAAAUUGAUGGUCCAAUUAGAUCAGCCCAUUGGGCCAUACGGAUCCAAGUGACACCGGCCUGUUAUCCUUCCACUGCUAGGAGCGGGAGGUGGUCGAUGCUCUGUGAAGCCAGCCUGACGCGGUGCCCUCCCCUCUACGAUUCAUGCAGUUCAAGCCUUCGCUAGAGCCACAGGAGCCAACUCUCAGCUUGGAACGGGCAGCCCAGACGAUAGCCAAUCGAACCCAACCCGCUGGUACUGAAUCAAUGUCCCAUCAAUUUCAUGCCCCCACUUGGGUCACAAGCCCAAGUUACUGGACUCGGCCGUGCGGUUCCCCUCAAAUGUUUACUAUAAAGGCUAAUUGUUUUUAGCUUUUGCUCGAUGUGGGAUUGGAUUCAUUAAGUUUUUCAUCUUUCUCGUUAUGUUACUUUUGUUUAAUCGGUGUUAUAAAUGAUAUUUGAAGUUAUAAAGUGAUCUUUGUUUUCUAAUUUUGUUUUUUUUUUUUUAAAUUCAUUUGUGUAUCUUAUAUGACCUAUCAAAUAUAAAUUUAUUAGAGAAUUAUCUAUCACUAUUGUUGUGAUUGGAAACAAUUUUUUAAGUAGUUUUGUUAAGACACUGAACGUAGUUUUGUCAAAUCGUAUAUGCACUUACCAUUGAACUAUGCAUUGGUGUGCACUUUAAAUACAAUUUUGGAUGUAAUUGAAUUUUUAUAUUCUAUUUGUUUGUGAUUACAUAGUAUAUUCAUGUAAUGGGAACAGGUCUUACACUAUUUGUGAAUGAAAAAAAAAUAAAGAAUUAAAUGCGGUUUGAAAGGAAAUAUCGGUAAUUUUAUUAAUUUAAAUUCAGAAUCAACUUUUUUUCGAUACACGAAAAUUAAUAAGAUCAAGUACAGUGACAAAUCAAACUUCAAUACCUGUAAUAAUCCGUAUUAUAAGUGGUAAUGAUGUAGAUAAUUAUGAUUCAAAAAUACUCUCCAAUAGAUAAAAUGAAAAGCGAACAUUUAAAACGUCGAUUGCUUUGUAUAUAUGAUAAUUAAUGAAUAUAAUAGUUAUUCAUACGGAAAAGUUCAAUUUGCACACUGAACUUGGGUCAAAUGUAUGAAAAACCUACAAAUGGACUUUUGAAUAAAAAAAACCUAUGAACUUAACAUUUUAGUAUCACUUUAGCUUAAUUUUUCACUAAAAAUUUAUGUGUGUACAGCACGCGGUCGAACAAUAAGAAAUAAAUGAAUUAAAAAUUAUUUUCCUCUAAUAAACAGUAACAGCAACAUCUCCUUAGCUAAAAUAAUCAAAUUUAAACUUAAAUCUCUAAAUCUAUCAUUUGCAGAAUGAAAUCUACUAAGUUGGAGAAGGAAAGGGAGAGAGUAGAAGGAAGCGAGUCAUACUGUGCUUGUUGAUUAAAGGCUCAUUGUUGGAUUUCUUAGAGCGAGAAGAACACAUGUAGAAAAUUUUAUUCCUGCAGAUUCUUAAAGGUGAAUGCGAAUUUGUUUUUUCUAUUAAUCAACUUCUUUUGUCAUUAAUUUAUCAAUAAGCAAGUGAUAUUUGUCAUACCCUUUUCAAUCUUUGUUAUCAUCCUUUUGUUCUUGAAUCUUUAUUAAAAAAAUUUUUUGGUUUUAUAGCCGAAAGUGAUGUUACUUCUUUGAAUGACACGACGAAAAAAUGGAGCAAAGAGCUGUAGAUGUGAUUAAUAAGCUGAAGUCCCAAUCAAACCUAAAGACUUCCCUCCCUACCAUGCAUCGAAAGUUUAUUAUGAAAUCCUAAUUCAAGAACCAUAGAUGGGAGAUGGGAUCAUUAAUAAUGGAGUUGAGACAACAAAGGAAGGAGUAUGAAAGGGUAAAGAGAAGGGAGUUCUAGUUGGUGUUUGCUUUGUGCUUUACAUUAGCUGUGUUGAUAAUAAUCAUUUUAAAUUGAAGUAGUUAUGGGAUUUGAUUUUAAUUACAAUUUGAGAAGAUUUUGUUGAAGUGAAGCUUUUGUCUUUAGGAAUUUUAACAAAAUGCUGUAGUUUGCCAAAACUACGCUUUGGUUUCAGCAUGAUAAUGUAACUAUUUCGUUUAUGGAAUAAAAAAUUGCUGCAAAUUUUGGAAUUGCCAUAUUUGUUUCUUCAAAACUUUAUUGGUGUUGCAUCCUAAUUAUUUGAUCAAUAAAUAUGAGAUGUGACAGGUUAUGAAUCUAUCAACUAUUUAUUCUGUUUCAGAUAUUAAUUCAUGGAAAAUAGCUUCCAGUUUUGGUUAUUUUGGCUAAGGAGAUGUUGCUGUUAUUAUUUAUUAGAGGAAAAUAAUUUUUAAUUCAUUUAUUUUUUAUUAUUGACACUUGCUGUACGCACAUAAAUCUUUAAUGAAAAAUUGGCUAAAUGAUAAUAAAAUGUUAAAUUCGAGGGUUUUUUUAUCGAAAAGUUCGUUUGUGGGUUUUUUUUACAUUUGACCCAGGGUGCAAAUUGAAACUUUUUCUUUAUUCAUUUUACAGUUUUAUUAUUAAAUAUUUUUAAAGUACAAAUUGCUCUAAUGAGAUUAAAUAAAUUGUUUAAAUUAAACUUUUGUUAUAUACCAUAUGUGCAAGUAUUAAUAUUUACGGGAAAAAGCUAAUUCCCACUAUCUUUACCUAAAACAAAUGUAAAUCUUCUUAAAAAAAUUAUUUUUUAUAUAUUCUAAAUUUUUUAGUUUGUCAUUAAUUUGAAGUAUUAGCCUUUAAGAUUCUGGCUGUAUUGAAGUCCUUGAAAACUUCCCAUUCCACGUGACUUACUUCUUCUGAUUUCUGAUAUUUAACUUAUAUCUUUCAUCCUUAUAAAAAUAAUUAGUACUUUGAAUGUGCUUUGCACAUUAUUUAUAUUCAUUGCAUUUACCAUUUUAAAAAAUAAUUUAAUACACUCUAAAAUAUCACAAACUGCUUUAAAAGAAAGUUGUAUGUAGAGCUUUUUUGCCUAAGUUGUAUAUCUUGGGUCCUCUCUUGGACUCCAAAUCAGUAAAUACGUUUCUAUUUAAAAUUCUAUGCCAAGCACUGACAAAGGGGGACCUAAGGGCCUCACCAAAAUAAUUUAUUAAACAAAUUCAUUUUCAAAAAAAAAAAUAAUUAAACAAAUUAAAGUCCAUAAUAUAAUAUUAGAAAUGAAAAAUUUUAAUUAAGCAAAUGAGUUUAUCCCGUGAUUUGAAAGCUACUAGCUAAUCUAGAUGGUUCAUCAUUACUUCAUUAGUGAUUAGAGACUGACGAUUUCAGCCUCCUCUUAAUAAUUUUCCCUUUGAAACAAAGCUAAAAAGUGAUUUUGAGAUAUGUAUUUUACAACCUUUUUCAUUAAAUAUACAACCUUUAAUAUUUCUUUUAUUCAAUGUUCAUUUGCGGAUGAGAAAAAAAAAAAAAAAAAAAAAAAAAAAGAUAUGAUAAUAAAGAAAGAUAGCCAUUUCAUAAUCAUUUUCCUCUCUUGGUCUAUGAGAAUCUAUGGCCUCCUGGACAUUUUUUAGGAAGAGGGGUUCCACACAAUGAAGGAUUACCAACAAAAACUGAUGGAUCAUUGAACUUUUUGAGCCCUUCAGGAAUUUUUCCUUCCAAAUUGUUGUAGGAUAAAUUUAACCGCACCAAUGAAUUCAAAGUAGCCAAGCUUUGAGGGAUCGGCCCAGAAAGAUGGUUAUAUGACAGAUCAAGUGAUUCCAAGUCUGUAAGUUCUCCAAUUUUCUCAUUAAUCUUUCCACUUAUCUGAUUUCUUGACAGGUUCAAGAAUCGCAACCCAUGAAGGUUUAUUACCUCAUCAGGAAUUUCUCCAGUUAGAUUAUUUCUAGAAAGGUCAAUUCCAUUAACUGCUGCAAAAAUGUUGUUAUAUUCAAGUGUUCUUCCUUUCAAUGCAACCAUUAGUAGUUGUAGAAAAACCUCAUUGUACUUACCACUGACCAUUCCUGUCAGGUUUCCAAUACAUUUUGGAACAGCACCUGAAAAUUUGUUGUCUGAAAGGUCUAAAAUGUGAAGAUUGUUGGGAUUACAUACUUCUUUGGGGAUUUCUCCAGUAAAUGAGUUUGAAUGAAGUUGUAACAUGAAUAAGGAAGCAAACCUUUCUCCUAUCCAAGAAGGUAAAUUUCCUGACAGGUUAUUUCUUCGAAGAUCAACACUCGUUAAUCCCGAGCAAUUUUGCAAUGAUGAAGGAAUCUCUCCAUCAAGAUUAUUGUUACUCAACAAUAAGACACUGAGGGAGGAUAAGGAACCAAAUGAACUUGGGAUUUUGCCUGUUAAAUUAUUGUUUGACACAUCAAUAGCCCAGAACAUUAGCUGAUGAGACCAACAGUUGGGAAUCUGUCCAGAAAGCUUGUUGCUUCUAAGGGAAAGAAUUUGCAAGCCAUUCAUAACACAAAAUGAUGAUGGAAUUGUACCAGAAAGAUGGUUUGAAGAAAGAUAUAACUUUUCGAGCCUUGGCAUUAGGCUACCGAUGUUUUCAGGUAUAGAACCUGAAAACAAGUUGUCCUGAAGGUAAAUAGUUGAUGCAUUUGUAGACCAAAAUGGAAGAGGACCCUCGAAAUGAUUAGAACUCAGAUCAAUAUACUUUAAAUUUGGAGAUUUCAUUUGAUUUGGCAGUUUUCCUUUGAUUUGAUUAUUUGACAGAACCAAGUAAGUGAUUUCAGAAGAUCGUUCCGAAAACCAUUCUGCUGGUAUAGUAUCUGAGAUUCCAACAUUUCUUAGAAUGACAGAGGUGAGUUCAUUUUGAACUUGAAGCCACAUAGGAAAGAAAGGACCUAUUACACAAUUUUCUAUUUGGAUGGAUUUGAGCCUGAAAUGAGGAAUCCACUUAUGAGACACAUUGAAGAUCAAAGACCUAGUAGGGAGGGUCGUGAGACGGAUAUUUUCUAAACUUCUGAGAUUUAUCAAGUGGGUUUCUGUCAAAAUGCCUUCCCAGGAAUUUGAAAUGAGGUCUACAUUCACUAACUUUGAGAGUUGACCAAAACUGUUAGGAAUUGUCCCAUUCAUAUUGUUAUAAGAAAGGUCCAAUUCCUUUAAAGAUGACAAUCUUCCUAUAGAUUCUGGAAUGGAACCCCAAAAAGAGUUUCCUGAAAGGUGAAGAUGCUGCAAAUUUUUAAGCACACCUAAUGAUUCAGGCAUUUCUCCUGUUAAUGAAUUAGAGUUCAAAUUUAAUGACACUAAGCUGUUGUUUUGAUUAUCCGCAAAACCACCUAAAAACUCAUGAACUUCACCAGUUAAACCAUUAGCAGAAAGAUCUAAGACCUUCAACUUACUUAGAUUACCAAGAAAACUAGGGAUAUGACCUCCAAAGUUCAAAUUAUUGGAUAAAUCAAGAACUUCCAAAGAUUUUAGUCUAGCAAAUUCACCAGGAAUUGGACCAGUGAAAAAGUUCCAUACAAGAUAAAGUCUUGUAAGGCUAGUAAGAUUGAAUAACCAUUGAGGAAUUGCAGAAUUGAAAGAGUUGUCUGAUAAAUCAAGAACAGAAAGAGAAGUGAAGUUGAUGGAAGAAAGUGAAAGUGGAAUAUUAUCAAGUUCACAGUAAUGCAAGUUUAACUCUAACAAAGAAGGAAGCAUAUUAAUAGCUUGAAGCCAAUCAGGCCCUACAUCUUUGAGCUUAACAUAGCCCAUAUUAAGGUACUUCAAAGAAGACAGAUCUGAAAGCCAGUGCAGACUGUCAGCGCGUAGCUCCAACGCGCCUGAAAUGCUAUACGAUCUUGCAUUAAGGUCAAGAUAUUGCAAUCGCCACAAAUUUCCAAGUUGAGAUGGAAUGAGUCCAGAAAAUGAUGAGAAAGAGAGGUUAAGGUAUCUCAAAUUUUCUAAUUCUCCCAAGAAUUCAGGAAUUUGAGCACCUUUGAAAUUAUUAAAGCUUAUAUCUAAAUACCUUAAGUAUUGUAACUCGAGUACAGAAGAACUAAUCUUACCACCCAAACAAGACUUCUCAUAAAUUUCUUGGUCACCAACUCCUCCAUUGAUUAACGUAUAAGGAUUUCGAAGGUCGAGAUUGAUGACAUGACCAGUUUGAUUAUUGCAUUUGAUUCCAUUCCCUUUGCAGCAAUCUUUUCCCUCCCAAGAGGAAAGUCUACCAAAAGGAUCAGUAAGGCCUUGUUUGAACACAACAAGAGCUUCUCUCUCUUUGUCGAUGCAUUGAACUUCAUCGCCCAAACAGAUCUUUAUAUGUGAAGAGAACAAAAAACACAAAACCAGAAGAAAGUGAAAAGGGUGACAAAUGGUUUCCAUAAAGGAAGAAUUAUUUUGCAGUGACAACUAAAUCUGCAAAUUGAGUUUAUAUAUAGAUUGGACUAUGAACAGAUAUAGUGUGAAAUGGGAAUUAGUGGAAAUGCCCAUAUGGGAAGUCAUGUGCCCAACAAUUAUAAAAUAUUAAGAAUGGGAAAGGUAGUGUUAGAUGACUAUGCUCUGUCCAUUAGUAUGGUGGUAUACCCACUUGCAUUUCUUAUUAACUGAAUUUGGCUUGUUUAACAUGUGGCUUACCAGAGACAUUUUGAGUUCCAAGUCAGGAAUUGCGUACUUCUUAAUUACAAAAUGUUGUCAUUCAAUAUCGAUAAGAGAAUUUCAAUAAACAAUACUCUCUCCGUACAAAAUAUAAGUUAUUUUUAUAUGAUUAUUUUAUCCUAAAAUAUAAGUCGGUUUGGUGUUGAGAUACAUGAUAAUUUGGUCAAAUCAUUCUUAGUUUUCUUAUAAUUUAGAAGCAUUAAUUGCUUCCUUAAUUUUUGUGUAAAAAUCUUUAGAGGGAUAAUGAUAAAUUUGAUAUCUCAACUUUAUGUUUUUUUUUAUUUUAGUGUCUUGCUGGAGAACAUUUGCAAUUGGUUGUAUUUACUUGUGAAAAUAUUCAAUUAAGUGGCUGUGUCCAUUUUUAAACACCAAAAAACUGACUCAGCAGUCGUGGAGCCUAUUUUUAAUAGGUGGCAGGCCAUGUGUAAUAAAGUGGAAUUUUUUUAAUCCACCUCAGCCCUUGUAUUAUGCGUGUACUUCGCCUUUACCCCUAAUUUAAUGCUCCCAAAGACCCAUCUAAAGAAAAAAGUUAUUUCAUCUUUUCAAAGGACCAUUAACCCCAUCUCUUAUAUUCCCAAACCAAAACUGUUUAGCGACUAAUCGUUAAAAAUACUCUAAAUUUUGCGGGUAAUUUUAAUUAUAUCCUAAAACUCCAUUGGUUUAUGUAAAAUGAAUUGUAAGAAAAUAUUUUUUAUAAUUUUCUGUUGUUUGUGGCAUUUAGAAAAAUAAGUCAAUGAAAAAUAUAUUUUUCUGGUCAAAGAAACAUUAAGUCAUUUUUAAAGAAAAUGACUUCUCAUUUUCAAGAGCGUAAAACAUUUUCCGGACUUUGACAAACUUAUUAUAACCUUAUAAAUAUUUUUUUUAAUUUAUUAAUCAUCGAUAACCACUAACACUACUCACCAUUCACCACUAACUACCACCACCGGCCACCGGCGACUUUCAUAAUUUACCCUUUUUUUGCUUUAUUCUCAUAUUUAAAAAUAAAAUUAUUAAAAUAUGCAAUUUAUAUUAUUAUUAUUGUUGUUGUUGUUGUUAUUGUUAUUGUUAUUUAAAAAAUUUAAUAUUUUUAAAUAAUUUUUAACAGUGCAACCAAAUAAGGGAAAAUAAGUCAUUUAGAAAAUAUUUUCCAAAGGUAAGUUAUUUUUCGGAAACAAACGGAGCCUAAAUCCAACUUUCUUCUCCUAGAAUCUUGAAUUUUAAUUUUAGUUACAAUAGCACCCUAAUUUCAAAUUAUACCCAAUUUAAUGAAUAGAAUAUUAUUUAUGAGACCUAGUUUAACCUUUUUUUCAAAUUAGAUUUCUUCCCACCACCGCUUAUAAAUAAAUAUAUAUAUUUAUAGAAAUAUUAAAAUAAAAAAUAAUCUAUUCAUCUUAAAAAUGAAAUACUUUUUUUUAUAAUAUUGACAACAAGUAAUAAUUCUUGAAAAAUAAAAUGAUGUCGUAAUAAAUAAAACUUAUUUUUAUAAGAGAUUUAACCUGAGUAUAAAUAAAAUUUUAUGCUUAAAAAAUUGCAAAACAAAAACCUAAACUAAUAUUUUAUGUUUAUAACUAACUAAAAUUUAUUAUUUUACUUGACUUUUUAUGAAUUUAAAUUCUUAACCAAUAUUAGCCAGAGCAUUGUUAAACAGUAAAUUUUUAGUUAACCUACCAUACAAGAGAGUAUAAUAUUUUAUUCAUUAAAUUGGAUACAAUUUGAAAUUAUGAUGCUAUUAUAACUAAAAUUGAAAUUCAGGGUACUAUGAAAAGAAAGUUGAAUUUACCUGUAAAGUUUGAGAUAUUUUUAAUGGUUUAGCUCCUCAGCUUGAUAGAACAUGAUCUCAUUACAAAAUUAGGGCAAGAUUCCAGUGAAGGAAAUUGAAUCAAGAAAAAUGCAGAUGAUGAUCAGAAGAAAAUUGAAUUAAGGAAAAUGCAGAGAUGAAUCAGUAUGAUGGUAGAUGAUUAAAUCGGUUCCAUCUGUAAGUGGUAAAAAUGAUAAAUGAUGAUAUUGAACGCAGAGAUGAAUAAAUAUGUUUCUGUGUUGCUAAAUGAAUAUUAGUUUGUUGGGUUUUGAAUCUGCAAAUUUCUUAUAUUAUCCUAAUGAUUUUGUAUAUGACAUUGUAAAUUGCCCCUUAUGUAAAGGAAUUUCAAUCUAUAAUUUUUUUUUCUCUUCCAUUCUUCCAUUUCUGAUAACGAGUAUUAAUGAUGUAAUUAAAUACAAAUCAAACAAUUCGAAGGAAAAGAACUCAUUUGAGUUUUUGUAAAAACGAAAUUCAAAUUUUAGGAAGAAAGUUUUUUUUUUUUUUCAAGAUAUGUAUUCAUCUUUGUUGUGUUGAUUCCAUUCUUCCAUUCUCUUCUUUCAUUUUCUUCUUUAAUCUUUUGAAAAUCAUUACAAAGUACGCAUAAUACAAGGGCUGAGGUGGAUUUAAAGUGAUUCCACUUCAUUACACAUGACCUGCCACCUAUUAAAAAUAGAUCCCGCAACUGCUGAGUCAGCUUUUCGAUGUUUAAAAAUGGCCACAACCUAAUUGAACAUUUUCACCGGUAAACACACCCAAUUGUAAAUGUUUCCGUCAAGACACUAAAAUAGAAAAAAAAAACGUAAAGUUGAGACACUAAAUUUAUCACUAUUUUAACCUUAAACAACUUGUAUUUUGAGACAAAAUGAGUAUAUAUGUAUCACGGGACUUGAGAUGUAGAAAAAAAACACAUAGAAAGAGGCAAUUACAACCCUCAAAACCAAAUUAAUCUUAUACUAUCUCCAUCUCAUAUGUAUAUAGACUGACUUUUUUUUAUUUGUCUCAAAAUAUAGUUAUAUUUUUUAAAAAAAUUAUUUAUUGUUUAAUUUUUUAAUAUACUCUUGUUUAAUGUACAUUUAUAUUUUUAAAUAAUUGUAUUACAUCAUUUAAUAUUAAUAGGUAAGUAUGUUAGAAAAUUACUAACCAAAAAAUAUAGUAUAACUAUAUUAAGUAGUUUUCUUUAAUCUAUGUGAAAGUCAAACUAAACCUUUAAAUAUAGGAUAAGGGAGGGAGUAUAGAAAAAAAAUAUAAUGAUAUUCAUAGAAAAAUAAAAGAAAGAUGCAUCCUAAUAAAAAAAAUGUUGACCUUCCUAAAAGUAUUGGAGAGAACCCUAGAGGCAUCAAUAGUGGGGGUAAUCAUUAUUCAAUGUAAAACUGCCAAAUUAAAUCGGACCAAAUCAAAUUAGCCAAUUUAAUUUAGUUUGGUUGCUAAAAAAAAAAUAGGUAGGUUUAUAAAUUUUGAAAAAAAUGAUUGACAGCUGAGUUUCAAUUUUUGAUUUCAAUAAUACAAACCAAACCAUAAUCAUAUAAUUAUAUACUCCCUCUGAUCUUUUACUUUAGAGAAAAUUUUCAUUUAGGGUGUUUGUGGUAUGUACAGAAUUUUACCCUAAAUGGAAAUUUUGGGAAGGAUGCAAAAGGAAAAGUCUAAAAUUCCCUUGAAUAAACUAUGUUGCUGCUUUUAUUCCCAGCUCAAUUAAUUGAGCAUAGUGGCAAACAAAAAAUAGAUUGGACAAUUACUGAUAUUAUGUUUUGAAAGCAUGCAUGAGUAACUGCUACGUUUAUGAGCAGUUUGGUAGAAAUAUGCUCGAUUUUACAGAUUUGAGCAUGAAUAAAUGUAAUACAUUAGUCAGGUAUCCUAAUAUGGUUACACAUUUUAAUUGUUGCGCGCUAUUCAUAAAAAAGUCUUUACAUCCAUAUUAUAUUUUUAAUUUGAGCACAAAUUUAAAAUUUUUCCAACAAACUUAAUUGUAACACUUGUUGACUAAAUUUGUAUUCAAUUUCCAAGAAGUGUGCAUAAUUUACGCACCAAGCACGAGUAUUUUUCUUAGGAGAUUAACAUAAAAUAGUCACAGAUUUAUAUUGUUACACUCUACUUUAAAAAAAAAAAAAUUCUUUUAUGUGAAUUAACUCUUACUAACAUGAACGCAAAAGUUUGCUUUUAAGUUCUCAUAUCUAUUGAUUCAUUCAAUGGCAAAACAAAUUUUAGCAAAAUGAUAACAUGUGUCUGACAAUUGUGGUCUAUAUCAUGAUGUCUACGAAUAAUUUUCUUUUUACUAGUGUCCUAUUUUUAAAAACAAUGUAAAUCUACUACUUUUGAAGUUGAAGAGACUCCUACAAUCUUCAAAGAUUUUGGCUAAUAAAAAAAAAACAGUUUAAUAUCAGCUUGAAAAAUUUAUAAACCCUAAUUAUCAUUUUGGUUUGAAAGUUCCUUCAAACCGUCCUAAACCAGACCAUGUAUACCUGCACUUCUGAGAUAUGUGUAGCAAAUGUUUGAAAAAUUUGUACAGUUUUCCAAUUCCUUAACUGUUGGUCAGUUAUCAUUUAUACCACAACUCAAUGAUCAAUUUUGUGUUAUCCAUUAUCGACGACUCAGAUUUUAAAGACGAUAUUUUCCUUGCCAAUUCAAAACGGCAGUUCCACUUUCUCAAUCUGAAAAAUGCAACUUCAAUUUUCUUAUAUUGCGGCACGUUGGGAUUUGAUUUAGCUAUUAUAUAUUUUAUAUUUAUACUAUAUAUAAAUGUGAGUAAAUGGAAAAAUAAUGAAAUUUCUUAUAUCGUACUUAACGAAAUUUAAAUGUUCUAAACUAACAUUAGUCAUAAGCCAAUUGAAUUAUUAUAUUUUAUUAGUUGAUUGGAUAUAUUUAUAAAAAUUAUUUUUUAAAUAAAUACAUAUAGACAUUUAGGCAUUUCAAGAUUUUAAGAUUUUCUUUCCUAAAUUUAUUUUUUAAUAAAUAUAUAUCAUAAUUUUUUAAAUAUUUGAUUCUAUUUUGAUUAUAAUUUAAAAUAAUUUUAUUUAGGAAGGAGGUAAAAAAAGAAAAAAGUAUACUUUUUUGUGUUUAUAUGAUUUGAUUGGAUAUACUUUUUAAAAAAUAAAUAUACGUAAUAUUUUAUUUAGGAGAGAGAUAUAAAAAAUAAAAAUAUAUAUUCUUUUUCUUUCUGUAUGAUUAUAGAGAAAAUUCAGGGUUUAUUUGGAGAGAAUAUAACGUUUCUUUUAUGUAAUCUUUUCUUUACUACUUAAUUAACUUAUUUAUUUAUUUAUUUUAAAUUUACAACUUAAAAUAAUAUAGAAAUAAAAUACUCUAAUAAACUCAUUAACCGACCAUCUAUUGAAUCCUAGCAUGAUUUUGUUUUGUCAUUUUCAUUUAUUGACUUGGCUUUAUUUUAUUUUAUUUUUGUCCAUCAACAUUAAAUUUCAUUAAAUUAUAGUCUUUCUAGAGUUAUUUUUGAAAUCCAAAUUGAUUAUUUUUUUAAUAUAAUUUAUUUCUUGUUAUACGUUGAGUUCUUAAAUGAGUUUUAUUCAUAAUAAUAAUUUUUAUUUUAUUUUUCAUUAUUGAAUUAAUUUGUAAUCACUAUCACUUUAAUUUAGUAAGAGAUUCGUAUCUCUCUUACAAUAACUAGAUAGCAUCUUGAUUAACUAUUUUUAAUUUUCUUGAUAUUUUUUCAUUUAUAUCCUAAAUCUGUUUGACUUGAACGAAAAUAGUAUUUAUGAAAUUAAAACAAAAUUAAAACUAUAUAUUUUUUAGACCACUUUAUUUUUUAAAAGUAGAAUUAAGUACAUAAAAAAUAACAUUACAAGUAGCUCAUACGGCAAAGUUUAAUACAAAUUAACUAAUUAUUUUUAUUUUUAUUUAAAUAAAAACUUAUGCUUUAAUAUUAUGUAGAUAAAAAAUUAAAAGACAAUGAGUAUUGUUACUGUGUGGUCAUUAAAAAAAGACUGAUAAAUAUAAAUAGAUAGAUACAUAUGCAAAGAAAACAAAUUUUAAUUUUCAUUAUAUGAACAUGUGCAACUGAAUUUUACCUCUUUUAUUCUACUAUCUAAUGGCUAAGUUUUAAACAAUAAAAUCUAAUACUAAAAAUUAAAAAAAAAAUGGUGGUCCAAUUAGAUCAGCCCAUGGGGCCAUACGGAUCCAAGUGGCACCGGCCUGUUAUCCUUCCACUGCCAGGAGCGGGAGGUGGUCGCUGCUCUGUGAAACCAGCCUGACGCGGUGUCCUCCACUCCACGAUUCCUGUAGUUCAAGCCUUCGCUUGAGCCACAGGAGUCAACUCUCAGCUUGGAACGGGCAGGCCAGAGGUUAGCCAAAUGAAUCCAACCCGCUGGUGCUAAAUUAAUGUCCCAUCAAUUUCAUGCCCCACUAAGGUCACAAGCCCACGUUACUGGACUCGGCGGUGCAGCUCGCCUCAAAUGUAUAAUAUAAAGGACAAUUGUUUUUAGCUUCUGCUCGAUGUGGGAUUGGAUUCAUUAAGUUUUUCAUCUUUCUCGUUGUGUUACUUUUGUUUAAUCGGUGUUAUAAAUGGAUUUUUGAAGUUAUAAAGUAAUCUUGUGUUUUUUAAUUUUGUUUUUUUUUAAAUUAAUUUGUGUAUCUUAUAUGACCUAUUAAAUAUAAAUUUAUUAGAAAAUUAUCUAUCGCUGUUGCUGUGUUGGGAAACAGUUUUUUAAGUAGUUUUGUCAAAACACUGAACAUUAUUUUUUAAAUAUUAGAACUAAUUUUUAAAGAAUAAGAUAGCGUUUUAUAAAAUGUUAAAUACUAUAACAUGUAAUUUUUAGUGUUUUUCUACUUUAAAAUAACUAACUGCUAUUAAAACAACUAAUAGCUAAUAACUACCAAAACAGUUAGAUGGCCUCUUGACUAAGCAUUUUUAAUUUUCUUGAUAUUUUUUCGUUCAUAUCCUAAAUCUGUUUGACUUGAACAAAAAUAGUAUUUAUGAAAUUGAAAAGAAAACUAAAACUAUGUAUUUUUAUUUUGGGUCAUUUUUUGGGUUUCAAGAAUUUGUGUGUGUUCAUAUAUUCCUUUCUCUAAUGCACUGGGUAAGUAAUACUAUUAUUAUUGCCAAAAUGAUUAUCAUUAUUGAUUCAUAUCAUCUUCUCAUUUAUUUUUUUUACCUAGCAGUAAAACAUAAUUUAUUAUUAUUUUUCAUUAUGGUCGUAUAUAGAUAUUGAUUUAAGAUUGAUGGCAAAUGGUUGGGGAUUGAGUGAUAACUUGAUUUUCUUUUUUGGAACCUAUCAAGGUUUAAGAAUCUGCAUUUAUAAAUUAAGGAUUGAAGGAUUAGGCAUAGGAUUAAAUUAAAUUUUAUUUUGAGACCACUUUAUUUUUUAAGUACAUAAGAAAUAACAUUGCAAGUAGCUCCUACGGCAAAGUCUAAUACAAAUUAACCAAUUGUAUUUAUUUUUAUCUAAAUAAAAAUUAUGCUUUAAUAUUAUGUAGAUAAAAAAUUAAAAGAUAAUGAGUAUUGUUAGCGUGUGGUCAUAAAAAAAAUACUAAUAAAUAUAAAUAGAUAGAUACAUAUGCAAAGAAAACAAAAUUUAACUUUCAUUAUAUGAAUAUGUGCAACUGAAUUUUACCAAUAACUUCAAUUAAUGUCGGAACAAUAUAUUAUUUUUAAGUAUAGUUCUUAAUUGAUAUAAUAAAUAAAUAACAAUUAUUUAAUUGUUUAAAAAUUAAAUUUAAAAUAUAAUAAUAAUAAUAAUAAUAAUAAUAAUAAUAAUAAUAAUAGUUUGAAAAAUAGUCUUCUUCUGCCACGAACUCAUAAUUGCUUGACUUACAUUUCAUCUUUUGCCCUGACCCACCAUUGGCAAGGAAACUACAAAAUGCAGAGCAGUUAAAUUGAAAGUAUAAACUGCAAAAUAGAAUUGGUUGAUUUCACUUUAUUUAUUUUCAGCCUUUAAACAUAAAUAUAUAUUAAAUUUUAGUUUCAAAUUAUAAUUAAGAAAAAGCUUUUACCAAAUCAAACAUAUUAAAUUAAUAUUCUCUUUUAUUAAUUUAGUUGUGGGCGGUUACUACAAUACAUAUUUAAAAAGUUCUUAAUGGAUAGAGAAACUAUAAUUUUAUGCCAUUUGACAUCCUACCUUUAGUAUAGCAAGUACAUAUCACUAAUUAUAUAAGGUUUUUUUUUUUAUUCUUUACAAAUUUCAUUUUUUCUUCUUUUGGUAGAAAAAAACGUCUUUUUAAAUUACUGUUAAAGAAAUACAUAUCAUUUUUUUUAAUUAUAUAUUUUUUUCAAUUUCAUUUUCGAUAAAUAUUUUCUUAAACUGUUAAAAAUAUUUUUUAUAAAUUAAAUUUUAUUUAUUUUAAUAAUUUUAAUCACAUUCUCGUAAGUAAAAAAAAUUUAAUUACGUCCGCUACUUCUUAAAUAUAUAUUAUAAUAUUAUAAAUCAAGUAAAGGAGAAUUUUAAAAAAUAAUUGAAAUGAUGUGUAAAUUAAAAUAUUAAAUUUAAUAAAGUGACACAAUUGCUUUUACAAAGGCUAAUAGCUAAUAAUGAAAUAUUAAUAUAAAUAUUUAAAAUAAUGAAAAUUAACCCAUUAAUAUUAAUAUAUUCAUUAGGAGAAUAAACAAGAAUGUUUAAUGAUAUACAUUUAUAAAAAUUUAUAUUGCAUAAUACAUGUGUUUUGAAUUUUCCUAUACAAAUAAAAGUAGGCUUUCAGAAAAUAAAAUUGAUGAAAUUGAUUUUGGGUUAAUAAAUAAAUAUUUAAUAGCAAUUAAGCAAUAUUUUUAUUUUUAAACUAAGUAAGAGUUUUUUUUACCUAUAUAGUUAGGUGGCUUCUCUUUCACUCUACUAUCCAAUGGCUACGUUUUAUAACAACAAAAUCUAAUACUAAAAAUUGAUGGUCCAAUUAGAUCAGCCCAUUGGGCCAUACGGAUCCAAGUGACACCGGCCUGUUAUCCUUCCACUGCCAGGAGCGGGAGGUGGUCGCUGCUCUGUGAAACCAGCCUGACGCGGUGCCCUCAACUCUACGAUUCAUGUGGUUCAUCAAGCCUUUGAAAUCGGUGUUACUUUCUUACAUAACAUACAGAAAUACAAAUAGGACACAUGAGACCUACUUUAUAUAUUAAAAUGUGAUGAUUCAGCUUUGACUAAUGAAGCCAUAAACGAAUGAAAAAAGAAAAGCAAAAUGCAAAACUCUAUGAUCCAAACAAUAUAAAUGAAUCUAACUCAUGACCUGCAAUAUAGGAAAAGAAGAUAAGAAAACUGUAAGUUCCAUCACAUCUAGUAAACAUGGCAUCCAGUAAAACAAUAAGGCCCCACCUUAAUGUAAUGGCAUACUAUAAACUAGUGAGAAAAUUUUGGAUAAAUAAUAAAUUUAGUGUCUCAACUUUCAAUUUUUAAUUAUUUUAGUUUUUGAACAAAAAAUAUGUGCAAUUGAGUGCAAAUUUUUAAAAAAAUACAAUCAAGUGUCAUUUGUUGAUGUAGGUGUCAAAAAACUGACCCAUCACAAGUAGGACCCACAUUUGUCCAGUCACUAGCCUAAGUGGAAUGACACCAAAUUGCUGACUAUGAAAAAACUAAAUCUGACUUGGCAAACUCUACGGAUUCACAUUAUUGUCCUAAUUUCUCUCCACCAAAUCUUUCUGCUUCUCUUCUUCACCAGCAAAAUUUUCCUCUCCUUCACCAACAACUGCUGAAUCUCUACACUCCACAUAUAAAAUCAUCGCCAAAACUUGCAUUUUCAGCCACAAAAUCUAUAUUUUAAAUAGCUAGGUGAUGAAUGGGAAAUCCAAUUUGUUCUUUCUUCUCUUCUUCAAUGAAUUAAUGUUUUUGUAUCGCUUCUUUACCAUUUUUCUAGUUCUUUUCGCUUUGAAUAAUCAUUGUUGUCCUUUCUAUUCUCUUAGAGGUGUGAUUGCCCGUAUUAUUCAAACCCCUUUUGGGGCCUUUUUCGUUUGUAAAUCAAGAAGCCUAAAUCAGCUCGAGGACCUUGCGUUUAUCAAAUACAGCUUCAAUUCUCUUAAAUCCUCUAUCUUGAAUAAAAUCCUCUUAAAUUGUGAGAUUCUUUCUCCUAAAGUCGUGGACUUAUUGCUCAAACUUGACUAUUUUAAGGUAUAUCAUCUUCCUUUUUAUCUUUUGGAAAACGUAUUUUUUCUUUUGGUUUAAUAUAUGGCCGUUACUGAUUAGGUAGUGACCCCAUGAUUCAUUUGAGUCGAUAAUUUUCUGUGGCUUUUAUUUCGGUCAAUAAUUUCCUUUCAUUGUUGCCCUGGCAUACAGUAUGUUGCCUCACACAAGUCAGCAGCAACGGUGGCCAUUGCCUGGAGGAGGAAGAUAAUGGUUACUAUCACAAGCAAGACCAAGAGGACGGAGCUAUAAUAAUUUAUAUACAAAUGGUUAAUUUAUUUUAAUUCUUUUUUUGGUUUUCUAUAAAUUUUUUUAGGAGAAUUGGAUUGUGGUAUUUAAGAGAAAUUUAUGGAUUGUUAUUUUUUAGAAUUUGAUUUUCGAUGUUUAAGGCUUUUGAGACUAGAAAAAAAAGCAGAGAGAAAUAUAUUAGGAAAGCGAAAGGGAAGAGAGAGAAAGAAAGGAGGAUUGAAGGAGAGGGAGAGGGAGAAGAGAGUAAAGAGAAAAGAGAAGGAUAAAUGAUAAAGAAAGAGCGGAUUUAAAAGAUGAGGCGGUGGUGGCGGGCAAAAGUAGCGGUUCAUGUAGGCACUGGGAUCCAGUGAUGCUGAUGUUGGUGGUAAUGAUGGUUUGCGACGGAGGUUAAGCCAUCUGCGUAAGAGAGGCUUCUUCUCUAAACGCAUUAGAUUAAGGGUGACAAAGUCAUUUCAUUGUUUUUGCCAUGUUGCUCAAUUAUUUGUCCAUACAAUUGAUUUGCUGCCUGUCAACGUGACCGGUUCAAGAUAUUUAAAAUUUUAAAACGAAAUUGACCCUUAAACUUUUGAUUUUAGUCCGGUUUUAAUUUCGACAUGAUUUUGGCAUGGUUCCGAUGAACUAACGGUUCAAAUUACAGUUUCGAUUCAGUUUUAGUAUUACACAAAUUUUAAAAAAAAUAAUAAAUUUUUGAUUUCAAAUUCAUAAAUAAAUAAUAAUUUUAAAAUGCUUAGAUUUUAUUAACUAAAUAAAUUAUUAUAAAAUUUUAAAAGAAAAACUUCUAUUAACUUAGAACUAUCGUAACAUUAAAUUUACAAAUUUUGCUAACUCACUAAUAUAGAAAAUUAUAGUUUUUUUUUUUAUUUUGGGCUUGAAUUAAGUUAAAAUUGAAAAAUUGUCUACGUAUCAUCUUGGGAAUUAGAGAAAAUCAAAGCCCACGUAGUUCUUUUUUUUAUUACAAUGGAAAAUAACCUCACAAUUAUUACAAUUAAUUUUAGUCAUCAGUGCCACUAGUCCCUGUUAAUGAGCCAGAAUAAUCAUCAUCGCUUGAAUUUUGUUGGUUUUGAGUUCUCAAUGCCACUUUAGUCCAAUCGUGAACACAUUCUUGCAUUUCCACAUUAUUUGGCGAUAAUCUUGAUUGUGUUGGAUCUAAAAUUUGUCCACCCACACUAAAAACUUGUUCCACUGCAACAGUAGAAAUUAGAUAAGCAAGAAUAUCUUUUUCAAUUGAAGCUAAGACUAGAAAGCGAUUUGCAUGCUUUUUCCACCAAUCCAAAAUAUUAAAUUUUGUUGGGUUUUCAUCCGCAUCAUCACCUAAAAACUCAAAAUCUAUGCUAAUACAUGUCUCAAUUUCUGUGUAUGAAUGUGGACCUUCCCUUAAUUUUUUUGAAACAUUUUGCAUGAAAGUAAAUUGUGUAGAAUAAAAUUUAGUGGAUUGUGUANNNNNNNNNNUAGUUUGUGGAUCUGAUACUUGAGGAAGGGGAGAUACUAAUUUAGAAUACUCAUCAUACAAUUGACGGACAUAUCUUAAAACAUUAUUAAUAAGAGAAAAAUAAUCUACUUCGAUAUUAAAAGAUCCAUAAUAAAAACGAAAAAAAUUUUUGUAAUGCAACUAACUUAAAUCUAGGACAAAGAAAAAAUACAACUAAAUUUAAAUUCAGAAUUGCAGUAUAAUAUUUUAACCAUUUAGUUUUCAUCAUGAAUAUACAUUCUUGUAAAUCAUCAUCAUUUUCAUUUUCAAUUAUGACACCACUUAUGGCUAAACAAUGAAAUGGAAAUAAAUGGGAAGUAGGAUAAUAAACACCAUUAAAAAUUUUUGUACAAUUUUUAAAAACUUGCAAAAUAUCUAAUAUUUUUUUACAAAUAGUCCAAUUGGUUGGAUAAAGUUGAAAAUGUGAUGCAUGCAAUUGCAUAAAUGAAGAAAGAAUAUCUUUAUAUACAUAAGACUUAUUUAACAUUUUAUGAAUGGAAAAAUUGAGAUUAGAAGGAAUUGAGAAUCGGAUGUAUGAAAAUAAAAAAUAAAAAAUAAAAAAUAAACACAAGAUAAUUCAAUAUUAAGAAAAAUAAAGCGAUAGAAAAAAUAAUGAACUAUGUACAUUUGAGAGAAUUUUGAUUGAGAAUAAAAGGAGAGUUAAAAUAUAAUUGGUUGUGAAAAAAAAUCAUCAACUCAUCAUAUUUAUACAUAUUUUUCAUUUUUUUAGUUUUCCAAAUUGUCUCUUAUUAUAGAAAAGUAACAACUAUAUUUUUGGAUAAUUUAGUAAAUUAUAAUAAAUAAAUAAUUGAUUAAAAAUGAAUAAAAUUUAUUUACCAAAAAUAAAAAAAUUAAAAGUCAUCUCAAGAUCUCAGCUAGCCGUUUGUACCUUUUUUUUGUACACAUAAAAUUAUUUUUUUUUACAACUCAACUAUUCAUGUACCAUUUUUUGCACAAAUUAAAUCAAAUCAUGUGUACUUUUUUCAUCACUUUUUAUAAAUUAUAUAUCAUUGUGUACUUCUCUUCACCAUAAAUCGGAUCAACUACAAUCAAAUCAAGUGAUAUAAAUUUUUUUAUAAAAAAUUUUAAGCUACAAAUAAUUUUAUUUGUGCAUUCGGUUCAAACCUUUAAAUCGUCGAUUUGAAUCCGGUUCUAGUUAAUUUACAGUACGAUUCGAUUUCGGUUAAAACCGAACCGAUGGCCAUGCCUAUGUCUAUGUAUGCAACUAACUCAGCAAACGUGGGACCAAAUUGGUAUUUGUUAGCUUUCUGGCAUCCAUGUCAACAAAUGACACUCAAUUGUAAAUUUUAAAAAGUUUAAUCACUCAGAUUGCAAGUAUUUUCCAUUCAGACACCAAAAUAGUAAAAAUUCAAAAGUUCAGAACUAAAUUUAUAAUUUACCCGAAAUUUGCUAAAAUCGUGAUUGGACUAUAACAUCAAACAACCCACAUAUUCUUAGAAGUUCUCUACUGUAAACUAGCAAAGGUUUUGGAAGCGUGUACUGCACCAUUGUAUACUAAGGAUAAAGCUCAGUAGGGAUAUUAGUCUCAGAGAUCAUAGCACAGCGAGGAGGGAAAUGAUUGCGCUGGAAACAAAAGGGGCAGAUCCAGAUCUUACCGGUGACAUAGACAUGGCCGAAAGAAGUGUGCAAUACUUGUUGAAGUGUGCAAUAAUUAACUAAAUUUGUAUUCAAUUUCCAAGAAGUGUGCAAUAAUUUAUGCAUGAAGCACCGAGUAUUUUUCUUGGGAGAUUAACAUAAAAUAGUCACAGAUUUUUAUUAUUACACUCUACUUUUAAAAAAAUUUCCUUUAUAUGAAUUAACUCUUACUAAUAUGUACACAAAAUUUUACUUUUAAGUUCUCAUAUCUAUUGAUUCAUUCAAUGGCAGAACAAACUUUAGCAAAAUGAUAGCAUAUGUCUGACAAUUGUGGUCUAUUUCGUGAUGUCUAAGAAUAAUUUUCUUCUUACUAGUGUCCUAUUUUCAAAAACGAUGUAAAUCUAUUAAUUUUGAAGUUGAAGAGACUCUCACAAUUCUCAAAGAUUUUGGCUAAUAAAUUCACAUUUAAAAUACUCUAUUAAUGAGUUGAUUUCUUCACCAUUAAUUAUGUAUUUAAGAUUGAUUAGGAGUAUUAUAGCCAAAAAAUGGGUAAAUAUUUCUGUUUAACUACUUUCUUAAUCCUAGAAUAUUUUAUGUUUUCUCUAAAAUGUGAGAGUAGUAUAAUAUAGUAAACAAAAGUUAUAUGAAUUGUGAUAUAUAAAAAUAUUUUAUUUACAUUAGUAACCAAUGCAAUAUAUACAAGUGGAGGAAAGAGAAUUUUGAAGUGCAUUAAAGUUCAAGAGUUUAUAUCAUUUUGUUUGUAUGUUUAAUAAUUUUUAUAUCAACUUUAACAGUAUUAAUAUGUUAUGUUAUUUAAACUUGAUCAAACCGUUUUACAAAACUGUAUCAUUUUAGUUCGAUUUGAGAUAAAAAAAAAAAAAAAGAUUUAUAUCUCCCUUGCAAUAAAUAGAUGGCCUCUUGACUAACCAUUUUUAAUAUUCUUGAUAUUUUUUCGUUUAUCCUAAAUCUGUUUGACUUGAAUGAAAAUAUUAUUUAUGAAAUUAAAAAAAAAUUAAAACUAUAUAUUUUUGAGACCACUUUAUUUUUUAAAAAUAGAAUUAAAUACAUAAGAAAUAACAAUGCAAAUAGCUCAUACGGCAAAAUCUAAUAUAAAUUAAUCAAUUGUAUUUAUUUUUAUCUAAAUAAAAACUUAUACUUUAAUAUAUAAAAAAUUAAAAGAUAAUGAGUAUUGUUACCGUGUGGUCAUUAAAAAAAGACUAAUAAAUAUAAAUAGAUAGAUACAUAUACAAAGAAAACAAAAUUCAAUUUUCAUUAUAUGAACAUGUGCAACUGAAUUUUACCUCUUUUAUUCUCCUAUCCAAUGGCUAAGUUUUAAACAAUAAAAUCUAAUACUAAAAAUUAAAAAAAAAAUGAUGGUCCAAUUUCAUCAGCCCAUUGGGCCAUACGGAUCCGAGUGGCACCGGCCUGUUAUCCUUCCACUGCCAGGAGCGGGAGGUGGUCGCUGCUCUGUGAAACCAGCCUGACGCGGUGCCCUCCACUCUACGGUUCAUGUAGUUCAAAGCCUUCGCUUGAGCCACAGGAGCCAACUCUCAGCUUGGAACGGGCAGGCCAGAACUUAGCCUAACGAACCCAACCCGCUGGCGCUGAAUCAUUGUCCCAUCAAUUUCAUGCCCCCACUUGGGUCACAAGCCCACGCUACUGGACUCGGCGGU